rnacentral:misc_RNA from 1 species
AAAUCGGUGGGUUUUUUUGUCUCUCUCCGUCCCAUGCCCUCACGGGCGGKGGGUCGGACGUCAGGCAGGCCUCGUGUUCCCGGCAUGCCUAGCCCAGUUGCAUGGCUGCCUCGGUGCAUGAGGCUCUUUGCCCGUGCUCUCGGAUUCGGAAUGUUACGUGCUGCGGGUGGGUGGCUCGUCGGAGGCCCUCCAUCCGAUCAAGCAACGCAUUUUGUCCAACGAGACGAACGACCGCUGCACCCGUCUUUAGGCCUGCGGCCUCACGGCUCGGCACGGCUCAGG